GAUGAACGCUAGCGGCAGGCUUAACACAUGCAAGUCGAGGGGUAACAGGAGUGCUUGCACUCGCUGACGACCGGCGCACGGGUGCGUAACGCGUAUAGAACCUACCUUUACAGAGGGAUAGCCUUUAGAAAUGAAGAUUAAUACCUCAUAGUAUUAAUUUUGGCAUCGAAAUUUAUUAAGAUUAUCGGUAAAGAUGGCUAUGCGUCUUAUUAGCUAGAUGGUAAGUACGG
rnacentral:rRNA from 1 species